AUAAGUGAAUAGUGAAAUCUGGCGGCUCAACCGUACAGGCUAUUAUUCAAACUGUAUAACUCGAGAAUGGUAGAGGUAACUGGAAUUUCUUGUGUAGGAGUGAAAUCCGUAGAUAUAAGAAGGAACACCAAUGGCGUAGGCAGGUUACUGGACCAUUUCUGACACUGAGGCACGAAAGCGUGGGGAGCGAACCGGAUUAGAUACCCGGGUAGUCCACGCCGUAAACGAUGGAUACUA
rnacentral:rRNA from 1 species